AGAGUUUGAUCCUGGCUCAGGAUGAACGCUAGCUACAGGCUUAACACAUGCAAGUCGAGGGGAAACGACAUCGAAAGCUUGCUUUUGAUGGGCGUCGACCGGCGCACGGGUGAGUAACGCGUAUCCAACCUGCCCAUCACUUGGGGAUAACCUUGCGAAAGUAAGACUAAUACCCAAUGACGUCUCUAGAAGACAUCUGAAAGAGAUUAAAGAUUUAUCGGUGAUGGAUGGGGAUGCGUCUGAUUAGCUUGUUGGCGGGGUAACGGCCCACCAAGGCGACGAUCAGUAGGGGUUCUGAGAGGAAGGUCCCCCACAUUGGAACUGAGACACGGUCCAAACUCCUACGGGAGGCAGCAGUGAGGAAUAUUGGUCAAUGGGCGAGAGCCUGAACCAGCCAAGUAGCGUGCAGGAUGACGGCCCUAUGGGUUGUAAACUGCUUUUAUAAGGGAAUAAAGUGAGUCUCGUGAGACUUUUUGCAUGUACCUUAUGAAUAAGGACCGGCUAAUUCCGUGCCAGCAGCCGCGGUAAUACGGAAGGUCCGGGCGUUAUCCGGAUUUAUUGGGUUUAAAGGGAGCGUAGGCCGGAGAUUAAGCGUGUUGUGAAAUGUAGACGCUCAACGUCUGCACUGCAGCGCGAACUGGUUUCCUUGAGUACGCACAAAGUGGGCGGAAUUCGUGGUGUAGCGGUGAAAUGCUUAGAUAUCACGAAGAACUCCGAUUGCGAAGGCAGCUCACUGGAGCGCAACUGACGCUGAAGCUCGAAAGUGCGGGUAUCGAACAGGAUUAGAUACCCUGGUAGUCCGCACGGUAAACGAUGGAUGCCCGCUGUUGGUCUGAAUAGGUCAGCGGCCAAGCGAAAGCAUUAAGCAUCCCACCUGGGGAGUACGCCGGCAACGGUGAAACUCAAAGGAAUUGACG
rnacentral:rRNA from 1 species